rnacentral:rRNA from 1 species
UGGGGAAUAUUGGACAAUGGGCGGAAGCCUGAUCCAGCAAUACCGCGUGUGUGAAGAAGGCCUUAGGGUUGUAAAGCACUUUCAAUAGGGAGGAAAAAGGUAAGCUUAAUACGUUUGCCCUUGACAUUACCUAUACAAGAAGCACCGGCUAACUCCGUGCCAGCAGCCGCGGUAAUACGGAGGGUGCAAGCGUUAAUCGGAAUUACUGGGCGUAAAGCGUGCGUAGGCGGCUUGUUAAGUCAGAUGUGAAAGCCCCGGGCUCAACCUGGGAACUGCAUUUGAAACUGGCAAGCUAGAGUUGGGUAGAGGGGAGUGGAAUUUCAGGUGUAGCGGUGAAAUGCGUAGAUAUCUGAAGGAACACCAGUGGCGAAGGCGACUCCCUGGACUCAAACUGACGCUGAGGCACGAAAGCGUGGGUAGCAAACAGGAUUAGAUACCCUCGUAGUCCCUGAGCGGGCUGGCAAGGCGCAU